rnacentral:lncRNA from 1 species
CAUAAGAAAAGAAGAGAGAUGAGAUAUAUGAGUCAUUAAAAAGAAAGAGAAUGUAGAUCAUAAUUAUUCUUUUUAUCUUUUAAUAUGGUCCUUCUAGGAUAUAAAAAAUAAAUUUAUAUGAGAUUUAAAUAUAAGAAGUGAAUAGAUGGGGUCGGAUAGGAUAUUAAAAGAUAAAUAAAUAAGUAAUUAAUAAAUAAAUAAAAAAAGAAAGAGAAGAAGAGCGGUCAAAAU